rnacentral:rRNA from 1 species
GACGAACGCUGGCGGCGUGCCUAAUACAUGCAAGUUGAGCGAUGAAGAUUGGUGCUUGCACCAAUUUGAAGAGCAGCGAACGGGUGAGUAACGCGUGGGGAAUCUGCCUUUGAGCGGGGGACAACAUUUGGAAACGAAUGCUAAUACCGCAUAAUAACUUUAAACAUACGUUUUAAGUUUGAAAGAUGCAAUUGCAUCACUCAAAGAUGAUCCCGCGUUGUAUUAGCUAGUUGGUGAGGUAAAGGCUCACCAAGGCGAUGAUACAUAGCCGACCUGAGAGGGUGAUCGGCCACAUUGGGACUGAAACACGGCCCAAACUCCUACGGGAGGCAGCAGUAGGGAAUCUUCGGCAAUGGACGAAAGUCUGACCGAGCAACGCCGCGUGAGUGAAGAAGGGUUUCGGAUCGUAAAACUCUGUUGGUAGAGAAGAACGUUGGUGAGAGUGGAAAGCUCAUCAAGUGACGGUAACUACCCAGAAAGGGACGGCUAACUACGUG